AUGAAAGAAGGAGAAGUGAUUUUGAUGGUGAACUAUGAAGAAGAUGCAGAGAUACUAUUGCAAUGUUAUGCGAUGAAGCUUGACGCAAGAGAGGUGAUAAUGAUGGAGCAAUGUUGCGUUUCUUGUUGCUUGAAGCUUGAAGCAGGGAUACGAUUUCAUAAUUUGCAUAGACUUGUGAAGAAUGAAUUGAUUGAAAUAGGGCUGUAUUUGUUUUGA